CUGGCGGCGGCUAACACAUGCAGUCGAGCGGAGCAGGGAGCACUUCUUUCUUGGGUGGCGAGGGGGGGAGGGGAGAGUAAGGCCUGGGAAAUGGCCCGGAAGAGGGGGUUACCCCUGGAAAACGAUGGCUAAAACCGCCCAACCUCUCAAGAGCAAAGCAGGGCACCUUCUGGCCUUGCGCAAGCGGAUAUGCCCAGGUGGGAGUAGCGCGUUGGUGAGGUAAGGCCUCACCAAGGCGACAAUCCCUACCUGGUCUGAGAUGAUGAUCAGCCACACUGGAACUGAGACACGGUCCCGACUCCUACCGGAGGCCGGGAUGGGGAAUAUUGCACAAUGGGCGCAUGCCUGAUACUGCCAUGCCGCGUGUAUGAACAACGCCUUGCGUGGUAUGUAAACGCUACUUUCAGUAGAGAGAACAGGUGCUUAAGUGUCACUAGCCUGAAUCACGUUGACGUUCACCUCACAGAAGUAAGCACAGCGCUAUAUCUCUCGUGCCACAGCAGCCAAGGUAAUGACGUGAAGGUUGACUACGCGUUAAUUAGAUAGUUACUGAACAUAAACGCGCAUGCUAGCGUGGUUAGUUUACGUGCAAGAUGAGAAAGCCCCCGAGCCUCCACCCUAGGAAGUCUCGCAUGUGAAACCUGACAGAGCUAGAGCUACUAGUAGAGAGGCGAGUAGAAUUUUCAGGUGUAGCGGUGAAAUCGGCGUAGAGAUUCUGUAGAGAAGUACACCCGGAUAGGCGGAACGCCAGUCCCCCUUGGAACAUGAUACUGCACUACUCAGAAUGCUGAAAGGCGAUGCAGAACGCCGACCCAGGAUUACAUGACCACCUGGCUAGUCCACGAACGUAAACGCAUGUCUACGUAGAAAGUCGUGAUCUAGUACCCUGUGGCCUUCGGUAGCUAACGCGUUAAGUAGACCGCAUCGGCAUGAGCGAGCACGGUCGCAAGAGUACAAACUGCAAAUAGAAUUGGAGCGAGGGCACAGCACAAGCGGUGCGAGCAUGUCAUCUAAUUCGAAGCAACGUCAGAAGAACCUUCACCUAGCUCUUCACAGCCCGACUAAUCUAUCGGAGAAUGCUCAUGUGCCUUUCGUGAACUCUGAGUACACGGUAGCCGCAUGACUUUUGUCCAGCUCCUGUAUCCUACGUUAAGAUCAGUACUUUGGGUUAAUUCCCCAACGAGCGCCAACCCUUUCCUUUUUUUCCCGCACGUAAUGGUGGGAACUCCAGGGAGACUGCCGGUGACAAACCGGAGGAAGGUGGGGAUGACGUCAAGUCAUCAUGGCCCUUACGAGUAGGGCUACACACGUGCUACAAUGGUCGGUACAAAGGGCAGCCAAACCGCGAGGUGGAGCGAAUCUCACAAAACCGUUCGUAGUCCGGAUUGGAGUCUGCAACUCGACUCCAUGAAGUCGGAAUCGCUAGUAAUCGCAAAUCAGAAUGUUGCGGUGAAUACGUUCCCGGGCCUUGUACACACCGCCCGUCACACCAUGGGAGUGGGCUGCUCCAAGAAGCAGGUAGUUUAACCUUAAGGAGCCACGCCUCCCACGGUGGUUCCAAAGGG
rnacentral:rRNA from 1 species